CUAAGAAUAUUCCGCAAUGGACGGAAGUCUGACGGAGCGACGCCGCGUGGAUGACGAAGGCCGAAAGGUUGUAAAGUUCUUUUGCUGGGGAAGAAUAACCGCAGGAGGGAAUGCCUGUGGGAUGACAAGAACCGGCGAAUAAGCCCCGGCCAACUACGUGCCAGCAGCCGCGGUAACACGUAGGGGGGCGAGCGUUGUUCGGAAUUACUGGGCGUAAAGGGCAUGUAGGCGGCUUGGAAAGCCUGGCGUGAAAGUCUGCAGCUUAACUGCAGGGGUGCGCUGGGAACUGCUGAGCUUGAGUGACGGAGAGGGAGCUGGAAUUCCUGGUGUAGGGGUGAAAUCUGUAGAUAUCAGGAAGAACACCGAUGGCGAAGGCAAGCUCCUGGCCGAUGACUGACGCUGAGGUGCGAAAGUGUGGGGAUCAAAACAGGAUUAGAUACCCUGGUAGUCCACACAGUCAACGAUGUGCACUAGGUGCUGGGGCGGUAGCUUCGGUGCCGGAGCGAACGUGGUAAGUGCACCGCCUGGGGAGUAUGCUCGCAAGGGUGAAACUCAAAGGAAUUGACGGGGGUCAUAGCUGUUUCC
rnacentral:rRNA from 1 species